AGAGUUUGAUCCUGGCUCAGGACGAACGCUGGCGGCGUGCCUAAUACAUGCAAGUCGAGCGAAGUUUUUCUGGUGCUUGCACUAGAAAAACUUAGCGGCGAACGGGUGAGUAACACGUAAAGAACCUGCCUCAUAGACUGGGACAACUAUUGGAAGCGAUAGCUAAUACCGGAUAACAGUAUUUCUCGCAUGAGAGAUAUUUAAAAGUUGGUUAUGCUAACACUAUGAGAUGGCUUUGCGGUGCAUUAGCUAGUUGGUGGGGUAAAGGCCUACCAAGGCGACGAUGCAUAGCCGACCUGAGAGGGUGAUCGGCCACACUGGGACUGAGACACGGCCCAGACUCCUACGGGAGGCAGCAGUAGGGAAUCUUCCGCAAUGGGCGAAAGCCUGACGGAGCAACGCCGCGUGAGUGAAGAAGGAUUUCGGUUCGUAAAGCUCUGUUGUUAGGGAAGAAUGGAUAUGUAGUAACUAUACAUGUACGAGACGGUACCUAACCAGAAAGCCACGGCUAACUACGUGCCAGCAGCCGCGGUAAUACGUAGGUGGCAAGCGUUGUCCGGAAUUAUUGGGCGCAAAGCGCGCGCAGGUGGUUUAAUAAGUCUGAUGUGAAAGCCCACGGCUCAACCGUGGAGGGUCAUUGGAAACUGUUAAACUUGAGUGCAGGAGAGAAAAGUGGAAUUCCUAGUGUAGCGGUGAAAUGCGUAGAGAUUAGGAGGAACACCAGUGGCGAAGGCGGCUUUUUGGCCUGUAACUGACACUGAGGCGCGAAAGCGUGGGGAGCAAACAGGAUUAGAUACCCUGGUAGUCCACGCCGUAAACGAUGAGUGCUAAGUGUUGGUCUCAUAAGAGAUCAGUGCUGCAGCUAACGCAUUAAGCACUCCGCCUGGGGGAGUACGACCGCAAAGGUUGAAACUCAAAAGAAAUUGACAGGGGACCCGCCACAAGCCGGUGGAACAUGUUGGUUUUAAUUCUAAACAACGCGCAAGAACAUUACCACGUCUUGACAUACUGGUGAGGGAAGAAAGAAAAUUUUGUUGUUUCUAUACCUCUGUGUAUGACACCACAUCUCGUGAGUGGGCAUGGCUUUUCUGC
rnacentral:rRNA from 1 species